UGGAGCCCUAUAGAAAAGACGGGAUGGCAACGAAAGCAGAUGAGGUCUCCUGUAAAGGAAAGGAAUCUGAUAUCUUUUCAGGAACCACCACCAAAUUCAAAAUACACUCAACUUUCCUUUUGUCUGGUCUGUUCUUUUUCUGAAUCUGAUGUCCGGGAUGUUUCUCACAGAAAAAUGUUAAUAGGAGACCAAGAUUGAUGGGAUGAGGGAAGAACAGAGGUGGAGGUUUGGCUCCAUGGGCUAGAAGGGGAACAAACAGGACCAUGGUUGCUGAGAAAGAACUGCAUAGAGGAAAAAAGUACCUUUGGUAAAAGGAGGUGAUCAAAAAGGGGAUGGCAACAUCCAGGUUCACCUUAUAAACUGUACCCUUUGGAAGAUGGCGGAGCCUCUGUCUGUCUGGGUCCUUGCGUGACUAUACGGAAGUUCUCUCCUGGCAACAACUGGAUUUUAUCAAAGUAGUCAGUGAUUCCCAAAUGUUGGAUGAUGUGAGACAUACAAAAGUAUGGUAUCCGUCCAUGAAACUCAAUAUA